rnacentral:rRNA from 1 species
AUUGAACGCUGGCGGCAUGCCUUACACAUGCAAGUCGAACGGUAACGGGCCUUCGGGUGCCGACGAGUGGCGAACGGGUGAGUAAUACAUCGGAACGUGCCCGAUCGUGGGGGAUAACGAGGCGAAAGCUUUGCUAAUACCGCAUACGAUCUACGGAUGAAAGCAGGGGACCGCAAGGCCUUGCGCGGACGGAGCGGCCGAUGGCAGAUUAGGUAGUUGGUGGGAUAAAAGCUUACCAAGCCGACGAUCUGUAGCUGGUCUGAGAGGAUGAUCAGCCACACUGGGACUGAGACACGGCCCAGACUCCUACGGGAGGCAGCAGUGAGGAAUUUUGGACAAUGGGCGCAAGCCUGAUCCAGCCAUGCCGCGUGCAGGAUGAAGGCCUUCGGGUUGUAAACUGCUUUUGUACGGAACGAAAAGCCUUCUUUUAAUACAGGAGGGUCAUGACGGUACCGUAAGAAUAAGCACCGGCUAACUACGUG